CCUACGGGAGGCAGCAGUAAGGAAUAUUGGUCAAUGGACGAAAGUCUGAACCAGCCAUGCCGCGUGAAGGAUUAAGGCCCUCUGGGUUGUAAACUUCUUUUAUCUGGGACGAAAAAAGGGUAUUCUUACUCACUUGACGGUACCAGAGGAAUAAGCACCGGCUAACUCCGUGCCAGCAGCCGCGGUAAUACGGAGGGUGCAAGCGUUAUCCGGAUUUACUGGGUUUAAAGGGUGCGUAGGUGGGCUUGUAAGUCAGUGGUGAAAUCUCCGGGCUUAACCCGGAAACUGCCAUUGAUACUAUAGGUCUUGAAUUAUCUGGAGGUAAGCGGAAUAUGUCAUGUAGCGGUGAAAUGCUUAGAUAUGACAUAGAACACCAAUUGCGAAGGCAGCUUACUACGGAUAUAUUGACACUGAGGCACGAAAGCGUGGGGAUCAAACAGGAUUAGAUACCCUGGUAGUCCACGCCCUAAACGAUGGAUACUCGACAUCAGCGAUACACUGUUGGUGUCUGAGNGAGNAUAGUAUCCACCNGGAGUAGANCGCAGAUAGAACGACAAUAGAGUAGACGCGUGAGACGUAGCGACGGACGACGACGAGGGAGGAGG
rnacentral:rRNA from 1 species